UACGAGGGGUGCAAGCGUUGCUCGGAAUCAUUGGGCGUAAAGGGCAAGUAGGUGGUCUUGUUUGUCUGUGGUGAAAGCCUUGGGCUUAACCCAAGAAGUGCCUCAGAAACGGCAAGACUAGAGUACUGGAGAGGGUCGCGGAAUUCCCGGUGUAGCGGUGAAAUGCGUAGAGAUCGGGAGGAACACCAGAGGCGAAAGCGGCGGCCUGGACAGAUACUGACACUCAAUUGCGAAAGCGUGGGGAUCAAACAGG
rnacentral:rRNA from 1 species